AGCCUAACCUGGCAGGGGAGACACCAUGAUCAGAAAAGUGUUUUUCCCAGGGUGAGGCUCACCCAUUGCACUCUGGGUGUGCUGACCCCUUUGAUUUCCCCACAUGUGAGAAACUGUACUGCAUCAUUUGUGGUAGUGGGUGACUGCGUUCACACUCUCCCCCC